rnacentral:rRNA from 1 species
UACGUCGGGGGCUAGCGUUGUCCGGAAUCAUUGGGCGUAAAGCGCGCGUAGGCGGCCAGAUAAGUCCGGUGUGAAAGUCACAGGCUCAACCUGUGAAUGCCGCUGGAAACUGUCUGGCUAGAGUCCGGAAGGGGCGAGUGGAAUUCCUGGUGUAGCGGUGAAAUGCGCAGAUAUCAGGAGGAACACCAAUGGCGAAGGCAGCUCGCUGGAACGGUACUGACGCUGAGGCGCGAAAGCGUGGGGAGCGAACAGG